UUCACUUGACGCUGGCUCCUCCGUCUCGCGCUGUCCAGCCCUCGGUAACUACAGUGGAUCUGUGUUGUCCCUCACCACCUGCAGCUCGUUGUCUAAUGUCCACAACAGUGUGAUGACAGGUUGACUGCUGCGGCCUCCAGGUCAACAGAGAUGGACUAUGAACACACACUCAGCCCUGCAGCCAACUAAAUCUCUACUCGUCCUGCUGUAACUCCAGAGCCAAGAUCAGCACCAAACCGCCAGCACCCUUCAGAGACCAUGGACCCAAGCUCCAACACAGAGAGGAAAAAGAUCUCCCGGACCAGUUUACCUGGGGCGUCUUCACCAACCUCAUCUCAUGGCUUGGAUUCAGCAGCUACCUGUUAGCUUGCUGCCAAAUGUUUGCUGAAGCCGUUUGCCUGAAGGUGCAUUGAAAGACAGAAGAAGCGCUCUUGGCUGGCGACUGCGAGCGGUUUUGUGUUUCUGUGCUUUGGUCUGUGAUCAUGGGAAAAGAACAGGAUCUGCUGGUGGCCGUGAAGACUGGAGAUCUUCUGCUGGCGCAUAAACUUCUCUCCAAAGUCAAGUGCAACAAAACCAAGUUGCGGGCUCAACCAAGAGACUCAACAUCAACUACCA